rnacentral:lncRNA from 1 species
CUAUGCCCACCCCCACCGCACUCCUCAGCCCUCUAGAAUAUUCUACUCAGGUAGUAGCAGGGGGUCUAGCCUGGGCACUGUGAGUUGGGGGUGAGGCCACAUUGCCCUCUGCUCUGUCGAUUAGCACAGUUUUCUGCAAACUCACACUUAGAGCACUAGGAAGGAGCACUGAGCUGUGUGUGAACAGCCUACGACGGAGCAUCCAGUUUUCCCCGGCCCUUCCCACUCACUACUCAGCUGUGUUUUUAUUUUUAUUUUGGUUUUUGGUUUUUUGUUUUUUCGAGACAGGGUUUCUCUGUAUAGCCCUGGCUGUCCUGGAACUCACUUUGUAGACCAGGCUGGCCUCGAACUCAGAAAUCUGCCUGCCUCUGCCUCCUGAGUGCUGGGAUUAAAGGCAUGUGCCACCACUGCCCGGCUUCAGCUGUAUUUUUAAAAUUUACCUUUAAUUAAUUAAUUUUGUUCACUAUCUCCCACCUCCA